UUGGUACUCCCUCCGUCCUAAAAUUCUUGUCUUACAUUUAUCUAAAUAUAGAUAUAUCAAGUCACAUAUUAGUAUUAGAUACAUCCGUAUCUAAACAAAUCUAAGACAAGAAUUUUGGGACGGAGGAAGUAUAUA
rfam:Triticum aestivum genome assembly, contig: Triticum_aestivum_CS42_TGACv1_scaffold_221599_3B